ACUAAGCGUACACGGUGGAUGCCCUGGCAGUCAGAGGCGAUGAAGGACGUGCUAAUCUGCGAUAAGCGUCGGUAAGGUGAUAUGAACCGUUAUAACCGGCGAUUUCCGAAUGGGGAAACCCAGUGUGAUUCGUCACACUAUCAUUAACUGAAUCCAUAGGUUAAUGAGGCGAACCGGGGGAACUGAAACAUCUAAGUACCCCGAGGAAAAGAAAUCAACCGAGAUUCCCCCAGUAGCGGCGAGCGAACGGGGAGCAGCCCAGAGCCUGAAUCAGUGUGUGUGUUAGUGGAAGCGUCUGGAAAGGCGCGCGAUACAGGGUGACAGCCCCGUACACAAAAAUGCACAUGCUGUGAGCUCGAUGAGUAGGGCGGGACACGUGGUAUCCUGUCUGAAUAUGGGGGGACCAUCCUCCAAGGCUAAAUACUCCUGACUGACCGAUAGUGAACCAGUACCGUGAGGGAAAGGCGAAAAGAACCCCGGCGAGGGGAGUGAAAAAGAACCUGAAACCGUGUACGUACAAGCAGUGGGAGCACGCUUAGGCGUGUGACUGCGUACCUUUUGUAUAAUGGGUCAGCGACUUAUAUUCUGUAGCAAGGUUAACCGAAUAGGGGAGCCGAAGGGAAACCGAGUCUUAACUGGGCGUUAAGUUGCAGGGUAUAGACCCGAAACCCGGUGAUCUAGCCAUGGGCAGGUUGAAGGUUGGGUAACACUAACUGGAGGACCGAACCGACUAAUGUUGAAAAAUUAGCGGAUGACUUGUGGCUGGGGGUGAAAGGCCAAUCAAACCGGGAGAUAGCUGGUUCUCCCCGAAAGCUAUUUAGGUAGCGCCUCGUGAAUUCAUCUCCGGGGGUAGAGCACUGUUUCGGCAAGGGGGUCAUCCUGACUUACCAACCCGAUGCAAACUGCGAAUACCGGAGAAUGUUAUCACGGGAGACACACGGCGGGUGCUAACGUCCGUCGUGAAGAGGGAAACAACCCAGACCGCCAGCUAAGGUCCCAAAGUCAUGGUUAAGUGGGAAACGAUGUGGGAAGGCCCAGACAGCCAGGAUGUUGGCUUAGAAGCAGCCAUCAUUUAAAGAAAGCGUAAUAGCUCACUGGUCGAGUCGGCCUGCGCGGAAGAUGUAACGGGGCUAAACCAUGCACCGAAGCUGCGGCAGCGACGCUGAUGCGUUGUUGGGUAGGGGAGCGUUCUGUAAGCCUGUGAAGGUGUGCUGUGAGGCAUGCUGGAGGUAUCAGAAGUGCGAAUGCUGACAUAAGUAACGAUAAAGCGGGUGAAAAGCCCGCUCGCCGGAAGACCAAGGGUUCCUGUCCAACGUUAAUCGGGGCAGGGUGAGUCGACCCCUAAGGCGAGGCCGAAAGGCGUAGUCGAUGGGAAACAGGUUAAUAUUCCUGUACUUGGUGUUACUGCGAAGGGGGGACGGAGAAGGCUAUGUUGGCCGGGCGACGGUUGUCCCGGUUUAAGCGUGUAGGCUGGUUUUCCAGGCAAAUCCGGAAAACUAAGGCUGAGGCGUGAUGACGAGGCACUACGGUGCUGAAGCAACAAAUGCCCUGCUUCCAGGAAAAGCCUCUAAGCAUCAGGUAACAUCAAAUCGUACCCCAAACCGACACAGGUGGUCAGGUAGAGAAUACCAAGGCGCUUGAGAGAACUCGGGUGAAGGAACUAGGCAAAAUGGUGCCGUAACUUCGGGAGAAGGCACGCUGAUAUGUAGGUGAAGUCCCUCGCGGAUGGAGCUGAAAUCAGUCGAAGAUACCAGCUGGCUGCAACUGUUUAUUAAAAACACAGCACUGUGCAAACACGAAAGUGGACGUAUACGGUGUGACGCCUGCCCGGUGCCGGAAGGUUAAUUGAUGGGGUUAGCGCAAGCGAAGCUCUUGAUCGAAGCCCCGGUAAACGGCGGCCGUAACUAUAACGGUCCUAAGGUAGCGAAAUUCCUUGUCGGGUAAGUUCCGACCUGCACGAAUGGCGUAAUGAUGGCCAGGCUGUCUCCACCCGAGACUCAGUGAAAUUGAACUCGCUGUGAAGAUGCAGUGUACCCGCGGCAAGACGGAAAGACCCCGUGAACCUUUACUAUAGCUUGACACUGAACAUUGAGCCUUGAUGUGUAGGAUAGGUGGGAGGCUUUGAAGUGUGGACGCCAGUCUGCAUGGAGCCGACCUUGAAAUACCACCCUUUAAUGUUUGAUGUUCUAACGUUGACCCGUAAUCCGGGUUGCGGACAGUGUCUGGUGGGUAGUUUGACUGGGGCGGUCUCCUCCUAAAGAGUAACGGAGGAGCACGAAGGUUGGCUAAUCCUGGUCGGACAUCAGGAGGUUAGUGCAAUGGCAUAAGCCAGCUUGACUGCGAGCGUGACGGCGCGAGCAGGUGCGAAAGCAGGUCAUAGUGAUCCGGUGGUUCUGAAUGGAAGGGCCAUCGCUCAACGGAUAAAAGGUACUCCGGGGAUAACAGGCUGAUACCGCCCAAGAGUUCAUAUCGACGGCGGUGUUUGGCACCUCGAUGUCGGCUCAUCACAUCCUGGGGCUGAAGUAGGUCCCAAGGGUAUGGCUGUUCGCCAUUUAAAGUGGUACGCGAGCUGGGUUUAGAACGUCGUGAGACAGUUCGGUCCCUAUCUGCCGUGGGCGCUGGAGAACUGAGGGGGGCUGCUCCUAGUACGAGAGGACCGGAGUGGACGCAUCACUGGUGUUCGGGUUGUCAUGCCAAUGGCACUGCCCGGUAGCUAAAUGCGGAAGAGAUAAGUGCUGAAAGCAUCUAAGCACGAAACUUGCCCCGAGAUGAGUUCUCCCUGACUCCUUGAGAGUCCUGAAGGAACGUUGAAGACGACGACGUUGAUAGGCCGGGUGUGUAAGCGCAGCGAUGCGUUGAGCUAACCGGUACUAAUGAACCGUGAGGCUUAACC
rnacentral:rRNA from 1 species